UUUAAGCUUCCUACGGGAGGCUGCAGUGGGGAAUCUUGCGCAAUGGGCGAAAGCCUGACGCAGCCAUGCCGCGUGAAUGAUGAAGGUCUUAGGAUUGUAAAAUUCUUUCACCGGGGACGAUAAUGACGGUACCCGGAGAAGAAGCCCCGGCUAACUUCGUGCCAGCAGCCGCGGUAAUACGAAGGGGGCUAGCGUUGCUCGGAAUUACUGGGCGUAAAGGGAGCGUAGGCGGACAUUUAAGUCAGGGGUGAAAUCCCGGGGCUCAACCUCGGAAUUGCCUUUGAUACUGGGUGUCUUGAGUAUGAGAGAGGUGUGUGGAACUCCGAGUGUAGAGGUGAAAUUCGUAGAUAUUCGGAAGAACACCAGUGGCGAAGGCGACACACUGGCUCAUUACUGACGCUGAGGCUCGAAAGCGUGGGGAGCAAACAGGAUUAGAUACCCUUGUAGUCGAAUUCU
rnacentral:rRNA from 1 species